rnacentral:rRNA from 1 species
UACGGGGGGGGCAAGCGUUGUUCGGAAUUACUGGGCGUAAAGGGCUCGUAGGCGGCCAACUAAGUCGGAUGUGAAAUCCCCAGGCUUAACCUGGGAACUGCAUCCGAUACUGGAUGGCUUGAAUCCGGGAGAGGGAUGCGGAAUUCCAGGUGUAGCGGUGAAAUGCGUAGAUAUCGUAAGGAAGACCAGUGGCGAAGGCGGGUCUCUGGACAGUUCCUGACGCUGAGGCACGAGGGCCAGGGGAGCAAACGGG